CCCUUCCACAGCUCCUUCCUUCUCCAGAAACUUCAUCUAGUAACUAUCCUCACAGGUCACCGAGACAGACUCUGAGGAAUCAGCUUCACACCCUCAGGCGUUGGGACAAACGGCGUUCCAUUCUAUGGGCCGGCAUCAAUGGGCCUUCCAUCCCCUAAGGAUGGCCCCAUUCCCUGAACCACCAAGAUUCCUCAGGACAUCAAAGUUACCUAGAAAAAAGACCAGCGAGACAAGAAGAAAGAAAAAGGAAGGAAAGGUACCCUUGGAUGAUGAGACAAGGAGAAGGGCCCGAAGAGGGGUAAGAGUUGGGGAGGGCCAAGGAAGAAGGACAGGCGGGAUUGAGGAAGAAACCCCCACUCCCCGCUCCAGAAGCGGCUGAGACAACAGGUCAAGUCACAAAGUUCUGCUCCAACUUUGUGAGAAGGGAAGUCCCAAAAGAGAAGUUACAGUGAGGGAGACACUGAAACACGAUUACAAGCCGGAGUACAAGAGAGCACCUAAUGAGGUCAUUCAACCUAGACUCAAGGGACAGGGACUGUGCAGUCAGAGAAGGCUUCCUGGAGGAGUUGUCCUAGCCAAAACCUGUAGCAGAGCGCUGAAGAACCGUGACAAGAGCGGGCAUCUUUGUAUAUUCCUGAUCCUGGAGAGAAAGCGUUACAUCUUCUACCACUAAAAUUGAGCCUGCUUCCCAAGAACUCCAGCUGGCUCGUUCCUGUUUCCUUCCUGGGAAGAUAUGAGGCUGGCCCGGGGGCAGCAAAGCUGCAAAGGAGCUUCCCUGACUGAGCCCUGACCAGGCCAAGUUGUCCCCGAGGCCCAGGACCUGGCACACCAUAUAGGCUGAAUGGAUGGUUGGAGUCCCAGCUCUGAGCGAUGACAGGGGACCCUGGCUGGACAGUCUCCAGCAGCUAUACAUACCUUGUUCAACCAAAAACUGUAGGCCCCCCCCCAUGCAGUCAUGUAGGUCGAGAGCCCCACGUCGCACACCUGGACUUAAUACCUAACCCAACUGCAGUUUCAUUCCCUCAACUGCACCCCUCCCCCAGCAGAGUAACCUUGAACCCAUCAACUGGGAAUUUCCUGGUCAGCACUGGAAAUAAUAGACAUUUUCCAUUCCCCUUAGGAGGCCAAACUUGUCUGAAAUAAUGCAUUCUUUGCUAA